rnacentral:rRNA from 1 species
UCAGGCAGCCUGAGAGACGGCUACCAGUUCUAAGGAACGCAGCAGGCGCGCAAAUUACACAAUGACAGUAAACUGUUGAUGUAGUGACAAGAGGUAACGGGGCGGUCCUCUAUGAGGCCCGUCAUUGUAUUGAGUAAAACUCAAAAUAUUUAACGAAACCAAUUGGAGGGCAAGUCUGGUGCCAGCAGCCGCGGUAAUUCCAGCUCCAAAAGCAUAUAUUAAAGUUGUUGCGGUUAAAAAGCUCGUAGUUGGAUCCAUGACCUCGGAGGGCGGUCCCCCACUGGGUGCGUACUGCUUCUCCGAGUCCUAUCUGUCAGUUUGUCUGUGUUGCCUUUAAUCGGGUGGCACAGGUGACUGACGUGUUUACUUUGAAAAAAUUAGAGUGUUUAAAGCAGGCGUUGAAUGCCUGAAUAGUGGUGCAUGGAAUAAUGGAAUAGGAUCUCGGUUCUAUUUUGUUGGUUCAAGAGCAUGAGAAAAUGAUUAAGAGGGACAGACGGGGGCAUUUGUAUUGCUGCGUUAGAGGUGAAAUUCUUGGAUCGUAGCAAGACAAACUACUGCGAAGGCAUUUGCCAAGAAUGUUUUCAUUAAUCAAGAACGAAAGUUAGAGGUUCGAAGGCGAUCAGAUACCGCCCUAGUUCUAACCGUAAACCAUGUCGACUAGCUAUCUGUCAGCGUUAAUAAUGACCUGACAGGCAGCUUACCGGAAACGAAAGUUUCUCGAUUCCGGGGGUAGUAUGGUUGCAAAGCUGAAACUUAAAGGAAUUGACGGAAGGGCACCACCAGGAGUGGAGCCUGCGGCUUAAUUUGACACAACACGGGAAAACUCACCCGGCCCGGACACCGUAAGGAUUGACAGAUUAAUAGCUCUUUCUCGAUUUGGUGAUUGGUGGUGCAUGGCCGUUCUUAGUUGGUGGAGCGAUUUGUCUGGUUAAUUCCGAUAACGAACGAGAUUCUAACUUACUAACUAGUUCCACGAUCCUUGUGGUCCUAAAUACUUCUUAGAGGGAAAACCGGCAUUUAGUCGAACGAGAUUGAGCAAUAACAGGACUGUGAUGCCCUUAGAUGUCCGGGGCUGCACGCGUGCUACACUGAAGGAAUCAGCGUGUUUUUCCCUUGCCUGUAAUGGCUGGGUAACCGACUGAAUCUCCUUCGUGCUAGGGAUAGAUCAUUGAAACUAGUGAUCUUCAACUUGGAAUUCCUGGUACGUUUGAGUCAUAAGCUCAAGCAGAUUACGUCCCUGCCCUUUGUACACACCGCCCGUCGCUACUACCGACUGGCAAUAUCUUUGAGACACUUGGAGCGGCCGUGAGCUACCCUAACCGGUAACUCACGGCUGCGAAAAGGUUCGAAAAGGUUUUGCUGGAGGAAGUAAAAGUCGUAACAAGGUU